rnacentral:rRNA from 1 species
CGGAGGGUGCAAGCGUUAUCCGGAUUUAUUGGGUUUAAAGGGUCCGUAGGCGGAUCCGUAAGUCAGUGGUGAAAUCUCACAGCUUAACUGUGAAACUGCCAUUGAUACUGCGGGUCUUGAGUAGGGUAGAAGUGGCUGGAAUAAGUAGUGUAGCGGUGAAAUGCAUAGAUAUUACUUAGAACACCAAUUGCGAAGGCAGGUCACUAUGUCUUAACUGACGCUGAUGGACGAAAGCGUGGGGAGCGAACAGGAUUAGAUACCCUGGUAGUCCACGCCGUAAACGAUGCUAACUCGUUUUUGGGCUUUCGGGUUCAGAGACUAAGCGAAAGUGAUAAGUUAGCCACCUGGGGAGUACGUUCGCAAGAAUG